UACAGAGGUCUCAAGCGUUGUUCGGAUUCAUUGGGCGUAAAGGGUGCGUAGGCGGCGCGGUAAGUCGGGUGUGAAAUCUCGGAGCUUAACUCCGAAACUGCAUUCGAUACUGCCGUGCUUGAGGACUGGAGAGGAGACUGGAAUUUACGGUGUAGCGGUGAAAUGCGUAGAUAUUCGGAGGAAUACCGGUGGCGAAGGCGGUUCUCUGGUCUGAUUCUGACGCUGAGGAGCGAAAGCCAGGGGAGCAAACGGG
rnacentral:rRNA from 1 species